UACAGAGGGUGCGAGCGUUAAUCGGAAUUACUGGGCGUAAAGCGUGCGUAGACGGUAGCGUAAGUCAGAUGUGAAAGCCCCGGGCUCAACCUGGGAACUGCAUUUGAGACUGCUCUGCUCGGGUGCGGAAGAGGGAAGCGGAAUUUCCGGUGUAGCGGUGAAAUGCGUAGAUAUCGGAAGGAACACCUGUGGCGAAAGCGGCGCACUGGACCAAAACUGACGCUGAGGCGCGAAAGCUAGGGGAGCAAACAGG
rnacentral:rRNA from 1 species